rnacentral:rRNA from 1 species
CCUACGGGAGGCAGCAGUGAGGAAUAUUGGUCAAUGGCCGAGAGGCUGAACCAGCCAAGUCGCGUGAGGGAAGACGGCCCUACGGGUUGUAAACCUCUUUUGUCGGGGAGCAAAGAGAGUCACGUGUGACUCAUUGAGAGUACCCGAAGAAAAAGCAUCGGCUAACUCCGUGCCAGCAGCCGCGGUAAUACGGAGGAUGCGAGCGUUAUCCGGAUUUAUUGGGUUUACAGGGUGCGCAGGCGGAGGUGCAAGUCAGCGGUAAAAUUGCGGGGCUCAACCCCGGACUGCCGUUGAAACUGCAUGCCUUGAGGGGGCGAGAGGUAUGCGGAAUGCGUGGUGUAGCGGUGAAAUGCAUAGAUAUCACGCAGAACUCCGAUUGCGAAGGCAGCAUACCGGCGCGGAACUGACGCUCAGGCACGAAAGCGUGGGUAUCGAACAGGAUUAGAUACCCUAGUAGUC